AUGGCAAAGAAAAGACCCCUAAGUGGCGGGAAGAAAAAUGAAGGAUCUGGGACUAACCUAGAUCGCUCUGAGGGAUGCAGAGGGGCGAGGACAGGGAUGACUCGAAGGACGCCUAUGGCCCAAGAAGACGCCAAGAGAAUCAGGGCUCUCGAAGAAAGGACAGACACCGAUAGAAUUCUCAAGCAGAAUAGGGCCCCUAA
rnacentral:lncRNA from 1 species